rnacentral:rRNA from 1 species
UACAGAGGGUGCUAGCGUUAUUCGGAAUGACUGGGCGUAAAGCGCGUGUAGGCGGUUCGGUAAGUCUGAUGUGAAAGCCCCCGGCUCAAUCGGGGAAGUGCAUCGGAUACUGCCGGGCUGGAGUACAGGAGGGGAGAACGGAAUUCCUGGUGUAGAGGUGAAAUUCGUAGAUAUCAGGAGGAACAACGGUGGCGAAGGCGGUUCUCUGGACUGUAACUGACGCUGAGACGCGAAAGCGUGGGGAGCAAACAGG